rnacentral:rRNA from 1 species
CACCACCCCCCCAUAAGAGGUCCAGCCUGCCCAGUGACUUUGUUCAACGGCCGCGGUAUUCUAACCGUGCAAAGGUAGCGUAAUCACUUGUUUUCUAAAUAGAGACCUGUAUGAAAGGCACCACGAGAGCUAAACUGUCUCCUUUUUCCAAUCAGUGAACCUAAUACCCCUGUGAAAAAGCAGGAAUUAAAAUAUAAGACGAGAAGACCCUGUGGAGCUUAAAACAUUCUUCACUUGCCAUUUCACCACUUCACCCCGGUUCAUCACUAAACGACAACUCUGACCCAAUGUUUUUGGUUGGGGCGACCACGGAGAAAAACUUAUCCUCCAUAAUGAAAGGAUUUCCUAAGCUAUAAAAUACAACUUUAAGCAUCAAAAAAUUGACAUCCAUUGACCCAAUAAAUUGAUCAAUGAAC